AAAUGUUUUCAUUCCUCCAUAAAGGCAACUUUUUUUAAUAUUUGUUUUCUUAUAAUUUUUUUAUGUUUUCUUAUUUGUUUUCUGGGCUCGCCGCCAUUUGGCAACAGUGAUGGCAACGCACAUGGUCAAUUGGCGCCAUGGAGAAAAGAUAAGUUGGCGCUAAGGGGUUGUUUGCGCAUGAUGUGUUUGCUCUCUGGUGCGGUCGCCCAGUUCAAAACAGUAUAAUGAGUACCUUUAGCUUACAGUCAACAAAUAAUGCAAUGUGCCAAAGGCUGCGAGUACUGACAGUUUCUUCACUGCCAGCGUUCCUGUCUUGUGGCGUAAAAUGUUCGUGUGUGCCUGGUUGUGGAGAGCCGCUGGUGUCGGUCGACUCACAGCGGCGGUCGACCACAGCAGCGGUGCAUAGCCACUUGUGAGUCAGUCCGCGAGACGUGAUGCCGUGUAGCACGUGCGGAGGAAAGCGCCCAGUGGCAACGCCAUUUUCGGCUUUGUACACAAGGUAGUCGGCGACACUGGAACGCCACACAUUGUCAGCCCAACGUUCCCAGCCGUCGCAGCACAGAGAAUGCCAUGAAUUGCAUUCCCCUCCUCAGGUGGUGCAACCUUUGGAUGAAGAGGGUGCCUCUUGCACUGUGCCAGAUUUCUUCCUUCACUUUAUCAAGUUUGGAGCACUGGCAGCCAGGAGUGAAGUUGAGGUGAAAGAAAGAGUGAAGUUGUUUGGACGGCAUCUUGCAUCAAAACUGGCCAAUGUUGCUCCCCCUAAGUAGUUUUUUUUUUCCACCCAUUUUGCUUUCGUGAAAGUCACAUUUUUGUGCCGAUUUUGUAUUGCAUACAUGUAGCUUGUGCCAGUUUGCCUAGCAUCAUGUCAUCCUUUGUUAACAAUGUUCAGAUGCUAUCUAGAUUUUUAAAAUGGUUGAUACAUCUAUUUGUGAUGCCUUUUCUAGGCAUUACCUUAACUUUUCCCAGUUCAUGCCUUUUGCCACUGUCUGCUUAACCAAUGAGGUA